rnacentral:rRNA from 1 species
AUGUGGAUUUUUUUCUUCAAGUACUUGGUAGACGAGCAUGGCCAUCUGAAGGGACUGUUCUGGACUGAUAGUCAGUCGCGACUUGACUACGAGGCUUUCGGAGACGUCAUUGUUUUCGAUAGCACAUACAGAACCAACAAAUACAAUCUGCCAUUCGUGCUGUUUGUCGGGUUGAAUCACCACCGCAGUACUGUUAUUUUUGGUUGUGGUAUAAUUUCUCAGGAAACAAGCCAGGCAUACGAGUGGAUGUUGCGGACCUUUUCUGAUUGCAUGGCACAGAAGCAUCCAAUAUCUGUGAUCAUAGAUGGGGACCUUGCAAUGCAGAGAGCAAUAAGGGUGGUCUGGCCAGGCUCAAACCAUAGACUAUGUAUAUGGCACAUUCAGUAG